GUUGAACGCUGGCGGCGUGCCUAAUACAUGCAAGUCGAGCGAACGGACGAGAAUUUCGCCUCGAUGAUGUUACCGACGGGCGGGUGAUGAAUACGUAGAUAACCUACCUAUAAGACUAGGAUCAGUACGGGAGACCUGAGCUCAUACAGGAUAAUAGUUUGAACCGCAUGGAUCAAAAGUGCAAGACGGAUCUGCUGUGCCUUAGAGAUGGAACCACGUUGGAUUAGCUAGUUGGUAAGGUAACGGCCUACCAAGGCGACGCUGCAUAGCCGACCUGAGAGGAUGAUCAGUCACACUGGAACUGAGACACGGUCCAGACUCCUACGGGAGGCAGCAGUGGGGAAUAUUGCACAAUGGGCGAAAGCCUGAUCGAGCCAUGCCGCGUGUGUGAAGAAGGUCUUCGGAUCGUAAAGCACUUUUAGUAGGGAGGAACAUAUGUGUAAUUAUCUCUGGACAUCUUGACGUUACCUACAGAAAAAGCCACGGCUAACUUCGUG
rnacentral:rRNA from 1 species